rnacentral:rRNA from 1 species
UGGGGAAUAUUGGACAAUGGGGGAAACCCUGAUCCAGCGAUGCCGCGUGAGUGAAGAAGGCCUUCGGGUUGUAAAGCUCUUUCAGAGGGGAUGAUGAUGACGGUACCCUCAGAAGAAGCACCGGCUAACUUCGUGCCAGCAGCCGCGGUAAUACGAAGGGUGCAAGCGUUGUUCGGAAUUACUGGGCGUAAAGCGCGCGUAGGCGGCUUAUCAAGUCAGACGUGAAAGCCCUGGGCUCAACCCGGGAAUUGCGUUUGAAACUGGUAAGCUUGAGUGUCAGAGGGGUGAGUGGAAUUCCUAGUGUAGAGGUGAAAUUCGUAGAUAUUAGGAGGAACACCAGUGGCGAAGGCGACUCACUGGCUGAAUACUGACGCUAAGGCGCGAAAGCGUGGGGAGCAAA